GAUGAACGCUGGCGGCGUGCCUAAUACAUGCAAGUCGAACGCUUCACUUCGGUGAAGAGUGGCGAACGGGUGCGUAAUACAUAAGUAACCUGGCAUCUACAGGGGGAUAACUGAUGGAAACGUCAGCUAAGACCGCAUAGGUGUAGAGAUCGCAUGAACUCUAUAUGAAAAGUGCUACGGGACUGGUAGAUGAUGGACUUAUGGCGCAUUAGCUUGUUGGUAGGGUAACGGCCUACCAAGGCGACGAUGCGUAGCCGACCUGAGAGGGUGACCGGCCACACUGGGACUGAGACACGGCCCAGACUCCUACGGGAGGCAGCAGUAGGGAAUUUUCGGCAAAGGGGGAAACCCUGACCGAGCAACGCCGCGUGAAGGAAGAAGUAAUUCGUUAUGUAAACUUCUGUCAUAGAGGAAGAACGGUGGAUAUAGGGAAUGAUAUCCAAGUGACGGUACUCUAUAAGAAAGCCACGGCUAACUACGUG
rnacentral:rRNA from 1 species